rnacentral:rRNA from 1 species
AUGUUACUGUUGUUGCCAGGACACACACAAAUGACGGUCAAUAAUCAAAUCGUGGUUGGAACAUUGAUGAACUUGGCAGAUAAUCCUAACAGGGUUAGUAUCGGGCAGAAAUGGAGAGAAUCUGAUAUAACACAUAGAAUUCCAAUAAUAGCAACUGGAAAUGAUUUUUCAACACUAUAUGCUCCUUUGAUUCGUGAUGGGAGGAUGGAAAAGUUCUACUGGUAUGUUUGUCCCUGCAUCUGA